UCUAAAGGGAACCGGGCCUUCGACUUUGCCGAGAUGAGGUUCCUCUCUUGCUUCUGAUGCAAUUUGUUUGGAUUGUCCUGUAGAUGUAGGGUAGUGCCAAAGACAUGUAGAUAUACAACUUUUAGUUAAAAUGAAGUUAUUGGUUGUACAUUCGUAAGUUCUCCGAGCUCCAUGGUCGUGGGAGGUCGGCUCCUCUGAGCUCCUUA
rnacentral:lncRNA from 1 species